rnacentral:rRNA from 1 species
UACGAAGGGGGCUAGCGUUGCUCGGAAUCACUGGGCGUAAAGGGUGCGCAGGCGGGCUGGUAAGUCAGUGGUGAAAUACCUGAGCUUAACUCGGGAACUGCCAUUGAUACUAUCAGUCUUGAAUAUCGUUGAGGUUUGCGGAAUGGGUCAUGUAGCGGUGAAAUGCAUAGAUAUGACCCGGAACACCUAUUGCGAAGGCAGCAGGCUAAGCGAAGAUUGACGCUGAGGCUCGAAAGCGUGGGGAUCAAACAGG